UGAAUGUUCUGAGUUUGGCCGUGCAGAGAAAGUUUCAAAAAUUUUCUUUGCUUGUUGAAAGAAAGUGGGAAAAAUACUGGGAAUCAUCAUCAGUUUGAUUAUUUUCUUCCGAAAUAUUAUUCUACGGAAAAUCACGGUGUGGGUCUUCGGCAUCGUCAUCUCACGGUGUGGGUCUUCGACAUCAUCGUCUCGCUGUGUGGGUCUUCGUCUUUUUCUUCACAGUACUCUACCGUGUUGGUCUUCGUCUUAUUCUUCUUCACCGUGUGCAUGCAUGGAAAAAGGGAAGGAAAACCCAUCUCUCUCAACACCAUGUAGCUCAAAUCCCUCAACUGCGGAAAUCCCAACAACUGCUCCAAACUUUCUAAAUUACAUGCACGGUUACGGACCAGGGUCUGCAUGGUCACCGGCUUUUAUCACAUAUCCAAAUGCAUACCAAUGUCCAAGCAACAUUCAGAUGAAUACUGGUUAUCCAUUUCAAUAUGAGAUGAGACCUCCGAGUCCUCCCAUGGCUACAAGUUCCAGAACAACUGAAAGAUUCGAAGAGGAUACACCCGGGUGUAGGGAAACUGAAGUGCCAUGUUCCUCCUCUAGGGUUCAUGAAUAAGGUGAAGAGGAUAUGCCAGAUUCAGGGGAAACUUGUGAUAGUACUGCUGAGACACCUCCGUUAGAACGAAUGGAUGGUGGUGAUAUGAUUGAGGAGCCAAAAGCGGGGAUGGAGUUUGAUUCUUUUGAGGAAUUAAUGAGUUAUUAUAAACUAUAUGCUAAGAAAUGCGGGUUUGGAUCCAUGACACAAAGGAGUGAAAGGGAUGACAAAGGGAGUGUCAAAUAUGUCACUCUUAGUUGUGCCCGUGGGGGAAAAGCUCGGAAUAGGACAAUGAAUGUUGCCAAACCAUGACUGACAGCAAAGACUGACUGUAAGGCAAUGAUUAAUGCCUUAAAAGUUGGGGGAAAGAUGCGGUUGACCACAGUUCAUAAUACCCACAAUCAUGGGCUGAGUCCACAGAAAUUCCGUUUCUUCCAAUGUAAUCGCGAAGUUAGUGAGACUGUAAAAAGGGUACUAGAUACUAAUGACCUAGCUGACAUUCAAAUGAACAAGAGUUUCGGAUCUCUUGUUGUGGGUGCGAGAGGAUUUGAGAACCUCCAAUUUUUAGAAAAAGAUUGUCGCAAUUACAUCGAUAAGGCAAGACAUCUAUGACUUGGAGCAGGUGGUGCUGGAGCGCUUCAAGACUAUUUUUGUAGGAUGCAGUACAAGAACCUCAGAUUCUUUGCCUUGAUGGAUUUAGAU